rnacentral:rRNA from 1 species
UAGGAUUCCCUCAGUAGCUGCGAGCGAACAGGGAAGAGCCCAGCACCGAAUCCCGCGGCCGAUAUCGGACGCCGGGAAAUGUGGUGUUAGGGAGGAUCCGUCUAUCCCGAGGUCGUGCGGUGCGUCCAAGUCCUUCUUGAACGGGGCCACAGCCCAUAGAGGGUGCCAGGCCCGUAGCGACCGCUGCCGAUCGCGGGAGGAUCUCUCCUCAGAGUCGGGUUGCUUGAGAGUGCAGCCCUAAGUGGGUGGUAAACUCCAUCUAAGGCUAAAUAUGACCACGAGACCGAUAGCGAACAAGUACCGUGAGGGAAAGUUGAAAAGCACUUUGAAGAGAGAGUUCAAGAGUACGUGAAACCGUUCAGGGGUAAACCUGAGAAGCCCGAAAGGUCGAAAGGGGAAAUUCAUUCGCGUUUUACGCGUCGUCCGCGCCUUCCGUUCUUCGAACCGGCGUCGAACGCGUGCACUUUUCCCCUAGUAGGACGUCGCGAUCCGUUGGGUGUCGGUCCUCGCGGUGGAGUCCGUGCGGUCGUUUCGCACGAACCCGCGGUGUCCCGGCCGACUCGCUCGACGGUAUACAGAUGGCGCGGGGCCGCUACACAGUUAGCGUUCGGCCCGUAGCAAGAGCGUUCGUGACGGAGAUCGGACCUGGUGCCGGUCCUGUCCACGAACGACUGUUGGUUACUCUCGAACAGACCUCGUCGAAACGCCGAUCUGCGACGCUAUAGCUUUGGGUACUUUCAGGACCCGUCUUGAA